GAUGAACGCUGGCGGCGUGCCUAAUACAUGCAAGUCGAGCGAACAGAUGAGGAGCUUGCUCCUCUGACGUUAGCGGCGGACGGGUGAGUAACACGUGGAUAACCUACCUAUAAGACUGGGAUAACUUCGGGAAACCGGAGCUAAUACCGGAUAAUAUAUUGAACCGCAUGGUUCAAUAGUGAAAGACGGUUUUGCUGUCACUUAUAGAUGGAUCCGCGCCGCAUUAGCUAGUUGGUAAGGUAACGGCUUACCAAGGCAACGAUGCGUAGCCGACCUGAGAGGGUGAUCGGCCACACUGGAACUGAGACACGGUCCAGACUCCUACGGGAGGCAGCAGUAGGGAAUCUUCCGCAAAGGGCGAAAGCCUGACGGAGCAACGCCGCGUGAGUGAUGAAGGUCUUCGGAUCGUAAAACUCUGUUAUUAGGGAAGAACAAAUGCGUAAGUAACUAUGCACGUCUUGACGGUACCUAAUCAGAAAGCCACGGCUAACUACGUG
rnacentral:rRNA from 1 species